CUCGACUUCGGUUUUAUUUCAUUUUUUGCUGAAAUCCAAAUACAGCAAGCUAUGCAAGAUUUCGAUUUAAAGCUAAACGGGGAUUAAGAAAAUUGACUUCGUUUGAUUCACAGAACUUGUUAUAAAAACAGAGGACCAGAGGUUGCUUAUAAAAAAAGGCCUAAAUCUAACAGAAACAAGUCUGAAGUUGAAGGCCAACUAAAACACCAUUUGCAUUUCUGGAUCAGACCAACAAUUCCUUAAUCAAACAUCGGUUUAGCAAGACUGUCAUUAUGGAAAUCAGCCAAAGUUCAAAAGAAGUGAAACAUUGUUAACACGGUAACAGUUUAUUGGAUCAAAGAAUA